CUUCCUAGUGACAGCUAAGGACGUGUCGUCGUACUGGGCACU
rnacentral:rRNA from 1 species